CAGAAAGACAGACCACAGUCGGUCAUAGAAAGGGGCAGAGGAAGAGAGUGGCCGACACACACAUAAAAGUUCUAUACUUUUAUUUUUAUACGCAGCCCAAAAAUAAUCGCAUUAUGAUAAGAAAAAAGAGCGCAGCCAACCAUCUCUCGCUCAGCCCCACUCUCUCACUCUCUAUCUCACACUCCAUCUGUG